UACGUAGGCAGCAAGCGUUGUUCGGAGUUACUGGGCGUAAAGGGUGCGUAGGUGGCUCUAUAAGUAUGGUGUGAAAUCUCCCGGCUUAACUGGGAGGGUGCGCCGUAGACUGUGGGGCUAGAGUGUGGGAGAGGAAAGUGGAAUUCCUGGUGUAGCGGUGAAAUGCGUAGAUAUCAGGAGGAACACCGGUGGUGUAAACGGCUUUCUGGACCAUAACUGACACUGAGGCACGAAAGCGUGGGUAGCAAACCGG
rnacentral:rRNA from 1 species